rnacentral:sRNA from 1 species
CUUACUAACGUUUGAGCACAAAAAUAUCAUCUAAGAAAUAUAUGGAUAUUUAAAGAUAAAGUUGUUAUAUAUAAUUAGGGGUGUCAAAAUAGGUAACCCAACUCAACUCAACUCAUAAUCAAAUGAGUUUAGGGUUAAAUGAGUUAUGGGUUAAUCCAACUCAUUUUGUUAAAUGGGUUGGGUCAACCCAUAACUCAUUUAAUUUGAUAGGUUGAGUUGUUAAAUGGGUUAACCCAUUUAAAUAAUAAUUUAAUUAAUUAUUAUUAUAAAACAAUAAUAAAAAU